rnacentral:rRNA from 1 species
UCCAGACUCCUACGGGAGGCAGCAGUGGGGAAUAUUGCACAAUGGGGGAAACCCUGAUGCAGCGACGCCGCGUGAAGGACGAAGUAUUUCGGUACGUAAACUUCUAUCAGCAGGGAAGAAGAUGACGGUACCUGACCAAGAAGCCCCGGCUAACUACGUGCCAGCAGCCGCGGUAAUACGUAGGGGGCAAGCGUUAUCCGGAUUUACUGGGUGUAAAGGGAGCGUAGACGGCCAUGCAAGUCUGAUGUGAAAACCCGGGGCUCAACCCCGGGACUGCAUUGGAAACUGUGCGGCUGGAGUGUCGGAGAGGCAAGUGGAAUUCCUAGUGUAGCGGUGAAAUGCUUAGAUAUCACGAAGAACCCCGAUUGCGAAGGCAGCCUGCCGCAGCGUUACUGACGCUGAAGCUCGAAAGCGCGGGUAUCGAACAGGAUUAGAUACCCCAGUA